UCUUCCCUGUAUGACAGCGAAUCAGGCCUUACAGAGGCAGAACUCUCCUCUCGUCCGACCAGUUGUCAGGUGUCCAGUGAUGUCACCCAGCUCCACCCCACCUUCUCUCAGAGGUCAAAAGGUCAUUCUGUCCAGUGGCCUAUCCCAUUACUGGAAGAUGUCAGAAAGGAGAAGUCUAAAGGUGUAAGUGGGCGUGUCCCUUCCACAUGCCUAACCGACUCGAUCCCUGCCAUCAUCGUCACUUCUACGUCAAGCCCUUAAAUGGGUGGGGUCUGUUGUGAGAGAACCUCUGGAUGUCGUGUGAUUGGACAAUGUGACACAGCUCUGUGUGUUUGUGUGUCGUUUCGCUCCUCCUCUACAGGGCUCUACAUUACCAGCAUGCUAUCUAGUGUGUGUGUGUGUGUGUGUGUGUGUGUGUGUGAACAGUAUUGAUUCCAUCCC